rnacentral:rRNA from 1 species
GGGGAUAACCUCGGGAAACCGGGGCUAAUACCGCAUAAUGCCUUCGGGUUAAAGGAGCAAUUUGUCCGAAGUGAGGGUCGCGGCUGAUUAGCUAGUUGGCGGGGUAACGGCCCACCAAGGCGAAGAUCGGUAGCCGGCCUGAGAGGGCGCACGGCCACACUGGAACUGAAACACGGUCCAGACUCCUACGGGAGGCAGCAGUGGGGAAUUUUGCGCAAUGGGGGAAACCCUGACGCAGCAACGCCGCGUGGAGGAUGAAGUCCUUUGGGACGUAAACUCCUUUCGACCGGGACG